rnacentral:lncRNA from 1 species
CAAAGACUGCCCUGGCUACAGCCCAGGACUGGCAGUAAAUACAACCAGCUUUGGGGAGGAAUCUCCCUCUGGGGAAUGUGGAAUCACAGAUGCUGACAGCCCAAAGGAGGCACUGGAAACAGGAUCAUGGAACUUUGAAGCCGUGAGGGAGGAACUUUCUGUUCCCCUGAAGUUUCUGAACUGCUUCUGCAAGUGUGGUCUGGGAACGGUAACAUCAUUAUCUGGGAGUCUGUUGGAAAUGCAAAUUCCUGGGUCCCAACUAGAACUACUGAAUCAGAAUCUGUUGGGAGGAGGGUCCAGCAAUCUGUUUUGAAAAGCCCUGCAGCUGAUUCUGAUGCUUGCCAACAUGCAGGAAGCACUGGACUAUACCAUCUUGUUAUUAGACAACUAUGCAGGAAAAUAGCUGUGUUAUCAGACUGUAUUCAAAGGCCCUGAAACCUAAAUAUUUGCUGAUUCUGAUGCUUGCUAAAGUGCAAGAAGCACUGGGCUAUACCAUCUUGUUAUUAGACAACUAUGCAGGAAAAUAGCUAUGUUAUCAGGGCCUGUAUUCAAAGGCCCUGAAGCUUAAAUAUUUUAAAAUAUUUCUUACAGCUGGACAUGGCAGCUCACACCUAUAUUCCCAGCACUUUGGGAGGCCAAGGUGGAAGGAUCACUUGAACCCAGGAGUUGAAGACAAGCCUGGGCAACAUAUCAAGACCCUCUUUUAAAAAAAAAAAAAAAAAAAAAAAGCCAGGCACGGAGGCUCUCAUGCCUAUAAUCCCAGCACUUUGGGAGGCCACGGCAGGCAGAUCAUGAGGUCAGGAGUUCAAGACCAGCCUGGUCAACAUGGUGAAACCCUGUCUCUACUAAAAAUACAAACAUUAGCUGGGCAUGGUGCUAUGUGCCUGGUAAUCCCAGCUACUGAGGGGGCUGAGGCAGGAGAAUGGCUUGAACUCAGGAGGCAGAGGUUGCAGUGAGCCGAGAUUGUGCCACUGCACUCCAGCCUGAGUGACAGAGCAAGACUCUGUCUCAAAAAC